GAUGAACGCUGGCGGCGUGCCUAACACAUGCAAGUCGAGCGAAGCACUUUGCUUAGAUUCUUCGGAUGAAGAGGAUUGUGACUGAGCGGCGGACGGGUGAGUAACGCGUGGGUAACCUGCCUCAUACAGGGGGAUAACAGUUAGAAAUGACUGCUAAUACCGCAUAAGACCACAGCACCGCAUGGUGCGGGGGUAAAAACUCCGGUGGUAUGAGAUGGACCCGCGUCUGAUUAGCUAGUUGGUAAGGUAACGGCUUACCAAGGCGACGAUCAGUAGCCGACCUGAGAGGGUGACCGGCCACAUUGGGACUGAGACACGGCCCAAACUCCUACGGGAGGCAGCAGUGGGGAAUAUUGCACAAUGGGGGAAACCCUGACGCAGCGACGCCGCGUGAGCGAAGAAGUAUUUCGGUAUGUAAAGCUCUAUCAGCAGGGAAGAAAAUGACGG
rnacentral:rRNA from 1 species